UACGUAGGGCGCAAGCGUUAUCCGGAAUUAUUGGGCGUAAAGAGCUCGUAGGCGGUUUGUCGCGCCUGCCGUGACAGUCCGGGGCUCAACUCCGGAUCUGCGGUGGGUACGGGCAGACUAGAGUGAUGUAGGGGAGACUGGAAUUCCGGGUGUAGCGGUGAAAUGCGCAGAUAUCAGGAGGAACACCGAUGGCGAAGGCAGGUCUCU
rnacentral:rRNA from 1 species